rnacentral:rRNA from 1 species
UACAGAGGUCUCAAGCGUUGUUCGGAUUCAUUGGGCGUAAAGGGUGCGUAGGUGGCUUGGUAAGUCGGAUGUGAAAUCCCGGGGCUCAACCCCGGAACUGCAUUCGAUACUGCCGGGCUUGAGUACUGGAGAGGAGAUUGGAAUUUACGGUGUAGCAGUGAAAUGCGUAGAUAUCGUAAGGAAGACCAGUGGCGAAGGCGGAUCUCUGGACAGUUACUGACACUGAGGCACGAAGGCCAGGGGAGCAAACGGG